rnacentral:rRNA from 1 species
UACGGAGGAUGCGAGCGUUAUCCGGAUUUAUUGGGUUUAAAGGGUGCGCAGGCGGAGGUGCAAGUCAGCGGUCAAAUUGCGGGGCUCAACCCCGCCGAGCCGUCGGAACUGGGGGCCUUGAGUGCGGCGGAGGCAUGCGGAAUGCGCGGUGUAGCGGUGAAAUGCAUAGAUAUCACGCAGAACUCCGAUUGCGAAGGCAGCAUACCGGCGCCCGACUGACGCUGAAGCACGAAAGCGUGGGUAUCGAACAGG